AUUGAACGCUGGCGGCAGGCCUAACACAUGCAAGUCGAGCGAUCGGCGGACGGGUGAGUAAUGAAUGGGGACUGCCCGUUAGAGGGGGAUAACUACUGGAAACGGUGGCUAAUACCGCAUACUGUAGGAUAACCCAUAUGGAAUUAGCUCGUAGGUAAGGUAAUGGCUUACUUGGGCGACGAUCCCUAGCUGUUCUGAGAGGAUGAUCAGCCACACUGGGACUGAGACACGGCCCAGACUCCUACGGAGGCAGCAGUGGGGAAUAUUGCAAAAGGGGCGCAAGCCUGAUGCAGCCAUGUCGCGUGUAUGAAGAAGGCCCUAGGGUUGUAAAGUACGUUCAGUCGGGAGGCGUUACCGACAGAAGAAGCACCGGCUAACUCCGUGCCAGCAGCCGCGGUAAUAC
rnacentral:rRNA from 1 species